rnacentral:rRNA from 1 species
GAUGAACGCUGGCGGCGUGCCUAAUACAUGCAAGUCGAGCGAACGGACGAGAAGCUUGCUUCUCUGAUGUUAGCGGCGGACGGGUGAGUAACACGUGGAUAACCUACCUAUAAGACUGGGAUAACUUCGGGAAACCGUAGCUAAUACCGGAUAAUAUUUUGAACCGCAUGGUUCAAAAGUGAAAGACGGUCUUGCUGUCACUUAUAGAUGGAUCCGCGCUGCAUUAGCUAGUUGGUAAGGUAACGGCUUACCAAGGCAACGAUGCAUAGCCGACCUGAGAGGGUGAUCGGCCAAAAUGGAACUGAGACACGGUCCAGACUCCUACGGGAGGCAGCAGUAGGGAAUCUUCCGCAAUGGGCGAAAGCCUGACGGAGCAACGCCGCGUGAGUGAUGAAGGUCUUCGGAUCGUAAAACUCUGUUAUUAGGGAAGAACAUAUGUGUAAGUAACUGUGCACAUCUUGACGGUACCUAAUCAGAAAGCCACGGCUAACUACGUG